UUUUUUUUUAACAGACCCUAUAGUUUUUUCAAAUAUAGGCCUCUGCCAAACUCGAGAUGUCCCUUCAUGGUAUUUGAAAAAGA